rnacentral:rRNA from 1 species
AUCGAACGCUGCUGUAGAGGCUAAAACAUGCAAGUCGUACGCGAACGUUCCCUUCCGGUAGCUAGUAGAGUGGCGAAAGGGCGAGGAAUACAUGGGUAACGUACCCUUGGCAUGAGGAUAGCUGUGGGAAACUGCAGGUAAUACUCAAUGAGACCACGGUGUCAUAUGGCACAGUGGUCAAAGGGUGGGGAUCCUUCGGGACCUGCCGGCUUUGGAGCGGCCCAUGUCCUAUCAGCUUGUUGGUGAGGUAAAGGCUCACCAAGGCUACGACGGGUACCGGGACUGAGAGGUUGACCCGGCGCAUUGGGACUGAGACACUGCCCAGACUCCUACGGGAGGCUGCAGUAACGAAUAUUCCGCAAUGGGCGCAAGCCUGACGGAGCGACGCCGCGUGCAGGAUGAAGCCCCUCGGGGUGUAAACUGCUGUCAGGGACCACCAAGCAAUGGGGGUUAAUAGCUCCCGGCGCUGAGGAAUCCCAAAGGAAGCCACGGCUAACUUCGUGCCAGCAGCCGCGGUAAGACGAAGGUGGCAAGCGUUGUUCGGAAUCACUGGGCUUAAAGCGCAUGCAGGCGGCCUGCCAAGCGUCUUGUGAAAGCCCUCGGCUCAACCGAGGAAUUGCUUGGCGAACUGGCAGGCUUGAGGCAGGUAGAGGCGUGUGGAACUCUUGGUGGAGCGGUGGAAUGCGUAGAUAUCAAGAGGAACGCCGGAGGCGAAAGCGACACGCUGGGCCUUUCCUGACGCUGAGAUGCGAAAGCCAGGGUAGCGAACGGGAUUAGAUACCCCGGUAGUCCUGGCCCUAAACGAUGUCAACUAGGUUAGAGGCUCUCUGACGGGUUUCUGGCCGAAACAAAAGCGUUAAGUUGACCGCCUGGGGAGUACGGUCGCAAGGCUAAAACUCAAAGGAAUUGACGGGUGCUCACACAAGCGGUGGAGCAUGUUGCUCAAUUCGAUGCAACGCGAAGAACCUUAUCCUGGGCUUGACAUGCUUGGAUGCCUUCCUGGAAACAGGGUCUGGCUGCCCUUCGGGGUGAAACUUGCACAGGUGCUGCAUGGCUGUCGUCAGCUCGUGUCGUGAGAUGUUGGGUUAAGUCCCCUAACGAGCGAAACCCUUGUCGCUAGUUGCCAGCGCGUAAUGGCGGGGACUCUAGUGAGACUGCCGGUGUUAAACCGGAGGAAGGUGGGGAUGACGUCAAGUCCUCAUGGCCUUUAUGCCCAGGGCUGCAAACGUGCUACAAUGACCGGUACAAACCGACGCGAAACCGCGAGGUCCAGCAAAUCGGAAAAAACCGGCCCCAGUUCGGAUUGGAGUCUGCAACUCGACUCCAUGAAGGUGGAAUCGCUAGUAAUCGUAGAUCAGCUAUGCUACGGUGAAUGUGUUCCUGAGCAUUGUACACACCGCCCGUCAAGUCAUGGAAGCCGGGAGUACCCGAAGUCGUGCCGAUUCAGGCAUGCCGAAGGUAAGCUCGGUAACUGGGACU